UACGUAGGUGGCAAGCGUUGUCCGGAUUUACUGGGCGUAAAGGGCGUGUAGGCGGAUCAAUAAGUCUAUUCUGAAAGCUCCUGGCUAAACUGGGAGAGGCGAAUGGAGACUGUUGGUCUAGAGUGAGGAAGAGGAAAGUGGAAUUCCGCGUGUAGUGGUGAAAUGCGCAGAUAUGCAGGAGGAACACCAGUGGCGAAGGCGGGUCUACUGGACAGUUCCUGGACGCUGAGGCACGAAGGCCAGGGGAGCAAACGGG
rnacentral:rRNA from 1 species